rnacentral:rRNA from 1 species
UACGUAGGGGGCAAGCGUUGUCCGGAUUUAUUGGGCGUAAAGGGCGCGUAGGCGGCUCAUGAAGGCUGUGGUGAAAGUCCGGGGCUCAACCUCGGAUCGGCCGUGGCGACUCGUGGGCUGGAGCACUGUAGAGGCGGGUGGAAUUCCGGGUGUAGCGGUGGAAUGCGUAGAGAUCCGGAAGAACACCAGUGGCGAAGGCGGCCCGCUGGGCAGUGGCUGACGCUGAGGUGCGAAAGCGUGGGGAGCAAACAGG